GAAGGUAAAGCUGGAGGCAGAGCCAGCUGUUGCGCCUGGCCUCCCCUGCACAGGGGGGAGGAUGGGGAAAGGCAACAGAGAGGAUAGAAGUUGUGUUAUAAAGUAUUAGAUGUGCCUGGUUCAGCACUCCAGAUACUGCCAUUGGGAUGGAGCUGGAGUAUCAUCAUUCCACCCUUGCGGCUGGCAUCAGUGGGGCAGGUUCAAGGGGUUGCCAUUAUAAAGGAGCACUUACAGGGAUCUGAAGAAACAAAGCUGGAGUGGAAUGAAGAUGAAUACAACUGACACACCGAGGAUGGUGGCACAUACCCUGCCCUGCCUCCCUGAGCUCCAGUGCCAGCAGACCACUUAACGAUUUCCUUCUGGCUGGACCAUUCCCAAAGCUGAAAAGAGGCAGAACAGCUACAAAUAAUUCAUCCAAAUCGUGCUGACAACAGCAAACACCCAGCCUGUGAUUCACUGCUGCAGUGGGGAAUUCUGUGCUCCAGCAUAUGGCUUCUGCUGGAAGAGGUGGACUUGGUACCAGGGUUAAAAACACUGCUCCUGCAACUACCAAUGGACUCUGGAAGUGAUCAGGACAGAUCCCAGAUGGAGACAAACGAGUUGGGUUAGACCUAACUGGGAAAAGCUGACAAGCUUCCAGGUGCACAGCAUGUUCUCCAAGUUCCCUCCUCAGCCUGUUCCCACUCCCCUUGUUGAGUGAGCAAGGCAAAGGAAGGCGCACAUUUCGUUUUAACAAUUGCCUUUCCAGCCAUCACACCCUGUUGGCUUCGUGUCUGAGCUCCUCACAAAUGGAGAAAAUCAUGUUGAUUUGGAAAUCAGUAUUGUCAGCUUGGCAGUGCGAACAUCCGAAUGCUCCCUCCUCCCCUUUCUGCUGCUUCUUUUCUUUAUCCCAGCUGGCAAACACACUUCUACGACACUGGGGGUCUCUGCACAUGGGUCUGUGGCCUUGGUAAGCACAGUACGUGUCAUAGAUCAUAACAUAGGUUGUUACUACCUGUACGUAGCCCUUAGCUGCUCAUCCAGUGGGUACUGCAGAGUGUUCUCAAACCCUGUGAAUGAGCAAUACUGUACCAAAGCAAAGCACUGCUGAAAUCCUGGGACAGAAAUACUCCGAACUGUUAAAGCAGUGACCCAUGAAUGCACCGCACCUGCAGUGCUCCUCAUUGUAUUAAAAAGACCCAAACCACCCACUGCUCUGCAAGUUCGUAUUUACCCACUGGUCUUUGCUCAGAGCUGCCAGGUAAGGCAGCUACAAGGAUGAGAAGUGAAACCAACAGGGAAUCCAUAAACCUUCACGAGCGUGAUACGAACCAUCACGGCUACCCAGCACGGGAUGCAAGGCAGGGACCUUCCCAGCAGAAGGGGGGCAGGUCCAUCACGAUGUUGUUAUCGGGAGCUCAUCACACACCCAGGUUGUGCAGCCCUGAGUAAGCUGAGCGGAAUGAUGGCAAAGUCAACGCCAGCUGAUGAGACAGCCUGCUUUAAGCUGCUGCUGUCAAGCUGAGUGGUUUGUAACGCUCUGUUUUGACAAUGUCCAAAGGCCAAACAGCGCUGUUUGUCAGAGGCUUUAGAUU